GCUAAGGCUACGCAGAAGAAUUUGAAGAUAGUCUGGUUUCCAUUUUCCUAAUGCAGCCUGGCCCAAGAGCCAGGUCUCCCCUAAGACUAGUCUACUGUGGGAGUCAGGGUCUUUUCCACGUGUGGAGGCUAGUGUUUGAUGCUGGACGGCCUGGAAUAAAGAGGGAAGGGGAGAAGGUAACCAGACUGGGCCUCGGGAUUCGCAGACGAUGGCUGGGGCUUUGACUUCUGCAGGUAGGUGAGCAGUGUGGCCUCGGGCUACUCAAGGAACGCCUCUGCGACAACACUCCUUUUCAGACUGUGGUUGAGCGCACAAGAGUGUGCAAAGAAAAGUUAACGCCUCUCCCAGCUGACCCCAAAAUCUUCUAAUCUGGGCCUGAUUGAAAAAAUUCGGAGAAGAACCACCUCGGCCGAGUUACGUGAAAAGGCUGGGUACGAACUACUCUGGCUCUACUUGGGGCGCCGGCUCAGAGCGAUGGGCAGGACGUCCGCGAGGAAGAAAGAGUGACGACGAUUUUUCAAGGAGUCUGAACCAGCUCACCCAGCAAACCCUCCUCCCAUCGAGCACCCUCCUCCCAUCGAGCACCCAGCAUACAAUCACCGCAGGGCCGAGGCUCCUGCCCUCAGUCUCGAUGGCGGCCGGAGCACGCCCCGGCCACAGCGCACGCGCGGGCCUCGGCGCUCCCUCCUCCAGGCCCUCGGCGCACGGCGCCGCCCACUCACCCAGCUGCACCUCUCCGUGCGUCCCCAACCUCACCCGCUCUGAGGCUGCCCCCGCUAGUCUAGCUGCCGAGCCCGGAAGUGGAUGCGGCCGUUCGGCGGAGAGGACGAGGGGGAGGGGAAAGUGCUUCCGGGGAAACGGGCCGGGGUUGGUGUUUGUAAACUUGCCUCGGUCCCGGUGGGGGCAGCCGCGGCCGUGGGGUUGGCAGGGUGUGCUGGGGCCUGGAGGAGGCGCCGCGCGGCCGGGGAGCCAGCGGGAGGCCGCGCCUGGCAGGUUUCUGAAACAGAUCGUGAGCUUCAUCAAGAGAAUUCAACUGGAAAACCAAGACUGGUAG
rnacentral:lncRNA from 1 species